AAAGUACUCCCUCCGUCCGAAAAUACUUGUCAUCAAAAUGAAUAAAACGAAAUGUAUCUAGAACUAAAAUACGUCUAGAUGCAUCCCCUUUUAUCCAUUUUGAUGACAAGUAUUUCCGGACGGAGAGAGAGUACUAU
rfam:Triticum aestivum genome assembly, contig: Triticum_aestivum_CS42_TGACv1_scaffold_578913_7BL